GUUCCCUGGUCCAGGCAGCGCUGACUCAGCCGGCCUCGGUGUCAGCGAACCCAGGACAAAACGUCCAGAUCACCUGCUCCGGGAGCAGCAGCAGCUAUUAUGGCUGGUACCAACAGAAGACACCUGGCAGUGCCCCUGUCACUGUGAUCUAUAACAGCAAGAGACCCUCAGACAUCCCUGCACGAUUCUCUGGUUCUGCAUCUGGCUCCAUGGGCACGUUAACCAUCACUGGGGUCCAAGCCAAGGAUGGGGCUGUCUAUUACUGUGGUUCCCUGCCCCAGGCAGCACUGUCUCAGCCACCCUCUGUGUCAGCACACUCAGAAGAAACCAUUCAGAUCACCUGCUCCGGGGGUGACAGCAGCAGAAGCUAUGGCUGGUACCAGCAGACACCAGGUCACUGUGAUUUAUG